rnacentral:rRNA from 1 species
UACGUAGGGUGCGAGCGUUGUCCGGAAUUAUUGGGCGUAAAGAGCUCGUAGGCGGUGUGUCACGUCGGCCGUGAAAACCUGGGGCUCAACUCUGGGCGUGCGGUCGAUACGGGCAUCACUUGAGUUCGGCAGGGGAGACUGGAAUUCCUGGUGUAGCGGUGAAAUGCGCAGAUAUCAGGAGGAACACCGGUGGCGAAGGCGGGUCUCUGGGCCGAUACUGACGCUGAGGAGCGAAAGCGUGGGGAGCGAACAGG